rnacentral:rRNA from 1 species
UCCGUCGGGGGCCCGCGUUGUCCGGAUUUAUUGGGCGUACAGAGCGUGUAGGCGGCCAGGUAGGUCCGUUGUGAAAACUCGAGGCUCAACCUCGAGACGUCGGCGGAAACCCUCUGGCUAGAGUCCGGAAGAGGAGAGUGGAAUUCCUGGUGUAGCGGUGAAAUGCGCAGAUAUCAGGAAGAACACCCGUGGCGAAGGCGGCUCUCUGGGACGGUACUGACGCUGAGACGCGAAAGCGUGGGGAGCAAACAGG